ACACCCCUGACAUGUAGGCUUGAGGCAUCAUUGAGCAGACCCUUGCCGCUCACCUUCACCUCCCUAGGGAGCUGCCCCUAGGCUGCAGCCUCUUGCACCUGCACAGGUGCCUGGGGGCGGGCCACAGUACCACCUGGUCCUCAGGUGGAGUGCAGGAUCAGCCUGGAGGAGAGGAGAGCUUCUUCGGCCCAACUGUAAUAGGGAAGAACCUUUGUAUUCUAUUACAAGGUAAUCACUAAAGAGACCUUGCCUAUAAGCUUAAAUUAUACAUAAUGGCCCAUCUCUGGGAGCCCUGCCUCCCAGGUAAUGAGCAUUGAGCUAAAACACCUUUGUUGAGCUCCCGGGAAACAUCCUAACCAGGCCCACCUGUGAAUGACUGCAGGGAGGAAGAAAUGAACACGACCCCUCAGGAGGCUGACUCGGGACCCGGAAGUGUUUGACUUUACUCCCGCCCCUUUUAGUAAAAACGAAGCUUGAAUUCUAACUCAGGCAAGACGGUUCACCAUCUUGCUCUGCUGGCUUUCUGAAUAAAGUUGCUCAAUCUAUUGGCCUUUUGUGUGGCGAGCAGUAGCAGCUUGGACUUGGUGUCGAAUUGUGGUGCAGACGGCCGGGAGCCUUGCUGCUCGUGGCUCCCGGUCCGCUUUGGGGAAUUUCCGGGUAAGGCCCUGGCAGCUGCCGGAACCACUUGUCUGGAGGGUCUUCCCUUCAGAAUUCCGCAAAACGGCCCUGACUGCCCCCCGUGCUUGGCAGCUGGAGCAAGGAAUCGACGUUUGGGAGCUGACGGGCUACAGUAGGGACUUCUGAAUGUGCUUCUGGACAUCCAUACAGUACUUGAGACCAGAAUUUCAUAACCAUAGAGCUCUGGUACAGUAGUCUCAUCUGUUUCGCCAUUAAUGAGGCUGGAAGGAGGUGACCAGAGUUUCUUGAUUUUAUGGGAUGAUCAUAACUGUGUUAAAACUGUGAGAACAGGGAAGUGAACAGUAUUCUGAAGAAGGAUGUAACCAGUUGUAAAGAAGAAAGAGAAGUGGACUGCCAUUAAGGUACUGUGAAAUUCCUGUGUAAAGGAGUGUGUGUGUGUGUGUGUGUGUGUGUGUGUGUGUGUGUCCAGGAAAAAGUAGAUCCUAGAAAUUUAUAGCAAAAAAAGGAUAAAGCUUGCAAUUCAGUUUGGCAUGGGGAGAAUUAAAGGUAAAGAAGAAAUCUAAGAUAAUACUGAUACUGUGAGCCAGAGAAAUCUGGAUGAGUAAGUGUUCAUUGAUGGAAAUACUGAAAUUAGAAAACUAAAGGGAUCUAAUCCAAUUUUAUUUUAGAGGAACAAUGGAGAAGAGAAAAUAGUUUAGGAAAAAUGAUGAAGAAUUUGGUUUUCUAGAUGAAGUUCUAGUUGUUGGCAAAACAUACAAACUUGGGUAUUCUUUAGGAUGCUUCAGGAAAUGUGGUUCUAGAGAAAGAGGUGAAUAAUGAGGGUUAAAAAUACAGAUACAGAAAUCAUCUGAAAUAUGUCUUCUAUUUGUAUGCUACUUUAGAAGUAAAAUUUCCUUUUAUAUCCACCUCACUUGAUCCUUAUAAUUAUGCUCUAAAGCAGGCAAAACAGACAUAACUAUCUUCAUUUCAUAGAUGAAACACAUUCAGAAAGGUUAAGUGACUUGUCUGAGGUCACUCAACUAGUGACUAGGGCCUGAAUAAUUCAGUUCUUUUUUUGCUACACAAUGCUUCCAUUUUUUAUUUUAAAAAAUUAAAAAAAAUUGUUUUAUCUUUUGGCCAUGCCACAUGGCAUGCAGGAUUUUAGUUCCCCAACCAGGGAUCGAACGCACACUCCCUGCAGUGCAAGUGUGGAGUCUUAACCACUGGACUGCCAGGGAAGUCCCCACAAUCCUUCCAUUCUGAAUCCACUUCUAGACAGUAGCUGAAAAUAGACAUGACUGUGUAAAAAUACGUGUGAGUACUGACAAAGACUAAAUGGUAGUAGGCAAACAUGAAAAUAGAAGUGGCUGAAUUAUGUACAGUAUAUUUUAACUUUUGAGGAAGCU